CGGUUAUAGUUUUCAUGGAUAGAGACAAACAAAACGUAAAAAAAAUAAAAAAUUAAAAACAACAUUAAAAAUAUUUAUAUUUGAACAUAUUGUUAAAAAGUAGAAAAAUUUAUUCGAAGAAAAUGUUAAAAAAAUAUAAACUGGUAAAACUUAAAAAAAAAAAAAACAUUAAAAGUUUUACAACGGAUUAGCAACAGAUAGCGAUAAAUUUGCAACAAUUGUAAGGGAUUAAUGACAAACUAGCAACUGAUUAGAGAUGCAUUAGUGAUGGAUUGACGCCAAAUUAAAAUUUCAUUCUUCUUCAUGAUGUGAGUCCUAUGGGAUCGCAGACCUGACACCUCUUUCGGACCGGCCUAUGAUUUAUGCAGGAUGGGUUCCAUGUUGUUUAGAUUAUUAAAUGUUUUCCGGGGCACUGUAAUUCUUGUUUAAUCAAUUAAAUUGUAUGUUUAUCAAAAUGGUUUAUCUUCGUCAAACAUGUUUCACGACUCCAUUUGACCCUUUUAUAUUGGGAUGAGACUGGAAUGUCCAACGUUGGAGUAAACGUGGACCACAGGCGACACAAUAAUUCUUGUUGAUAAAACGACCAAUUACAUGAUGAGGACCCACUUAUUUGUUUUCCAUAAUGAGGACACAUUUUAUAUUAAAUUUAUUGUUUUUUCAGAUAUUCAGAUUACUAAUAGGAUCACUUUGGCGGCUCAUUCUUCCACGAUUUUGAUGCAUCCACCAGAAUUAAUAGUGGAAUGAAAUAAAUUUAUAGUGUAUUUUAAUUAAGAAAAUUUGUAAAUAAAUUCAUAAAGUUUAGCUUUAUUAACGUAAAAAUCAUUUUUUUAAUUAAGUCCAAAAAACCGAAAAAUAUAACAAAAUAAUUUUUAUAUCCGGCUAAUACCAGUUAUCAGGGUUAAAUUAUAAAUAAACAAUCAUUGAUAAUUUUUUUGUUAAUAUGGUUAAAGUGUAAGGACUUUUUUGAAUAUAUAUANUAACGAGUGCGAAUAAUUUCUUUCAGAAAUUAGUUUCUAGAAGUGAUUAGUUUUUUUGCACAAAUAAUUUAUUUUGCAGUUCAAAGUAGUUGAGAUAUGUUACUAUAUCUUGUAAUCUUGCACAUGAAUUAUUUUCAAGAUUAAGAAGAAUUUUAAAGUGAGUGUGAAUUGUUUUCUUUGGUGCGCAUUAGAAACAUGUUGAUUAUCUCUUUUGAUGAAUGAUUAUGUUUGAGAAACAUGUAAAUUACAAAAAACAAUUAGGGUUUUUCACUUAAAGUUUCGGGUUAAGCGUUCAAAAAACACUCUUUUUUUUUUAAAAAAAAUUAUGUGCUAUUAGUAUUUAUUGUGUAUGUGUGUGGGUGGGAGGGGGGGGNAAAGUUUUUUGUUUCGGUUAAAAAUAAAAAUAUAUAGCUGUUUUUGGUUAAUUAUAAAAGUUGGUUAUUGUUUUGGGUAGAAAAACAAACUAUGAUAUUAGAUAAAAAUAAUAUAAAAACUAUAAUCAACUUUUUAAAAUGAAAGACUCUAGUAAUAUAUUUAGUUGGCUAAAGAAUGAAAUUUACCGUAUUUUUCCAACCGAGAUAAAACUAUCAUUUUGAUUUUUUAUUUUGAUUUUUUAUUUUUUUGUUAUUUAUGUCCUGAAUGACUAUUUAGGUUAUUGUUUUUAUAAACGUUUUUUCCGUCAUAGUUUAAUAUUAUGACAUUUUUAGGUCAAUUACGAUUGUUUUUGAAAAAAAAUAAUAAACAUCUCAAUCAAUGACAACUCAAAAUAUUUUGUUAUUACUUAUUGACGCGGGAAAGAAAUAACAAAUUUUUGUUAUGGAAUACAACCAAAAAAUAGCAACAAAAAAAAGCAAUGAAACUACUUUGUCUAAUUUUCUUAAACACAAAAUAACUUAAUCCAUAAAUUUAUUUGUUUAUUUUGUUGUUGAUUAAAAGAAGAUGAUUGAGACCUCAAAUUCAUAAUUAAUAUUACAAUUAUAUACAGGAUUCAAGAAGUCUAAAAUAGAUUUAUAGUUAAAGCAUAUGUUGCUCUUUACUAUUUUGCUUGUAAGAAAAUUAGAAAUUUGACUUCCUGUAUAUAAUUGAAAGACUAUUAAGAUAAAGCAUAAGAAAUUUGAUUUUAUCAAGAACCAUAGAGAGUUUACAUAAUGGGACUUUGUUAGUAGAAAUGUUAAGGAUUACUCACUUGAGUUUUUGGAUAACUAAUAUGCAUUCACUGCAAUCCUAUUUUGAAUGAACAACAUCAGUUCCUUGAUAAAUGAAAAAUAAAUUACCAUAACAAAAACUUUUUAGUCUCUAACCUGCCUUCCUGGAUGGAAUGGAAUAUCAGGGUCUUCGGUUAAUUCAACAUCAACAACACCAAUCAAAAGGCGGAUGUGAUGAAAUCAAGAUCAAACGGUGAAAUUUCGGAACUUUUAUGACCAAAACAGAAAUGAUAACUGAGGUUAGAGCUUCUAAAUAAAGGUUAGAUGGUGUGGUUUUCAUGUAUGUUGUUCCAUGUGAUUUAACUAAUAAUGUCUAUUUAGAAUAAUCGACUAAAUCUCACAUAUGUUGCUCUUUAUUAUUCUUCUUUUUUCUUUAUAGUCGGAAGUGGAGGUGAAUAAUGUGUUGUUUAAUGGUGUGAUGGUGUUAGUAAUGAGUAACUACAUUUAUAAGUGUUCCAUUAAAGAUACCAACACCCAAACCUACAAUAGAUGAAAACAAAGCCCAUGACAAAACCAUUCUUGACAAAAAUGUUAGCAUGUUCCAGGAGAAAUGACAUACUCACAUGUUGUUGGCCAGUCAUACUCUCCAUCAGUUAGCAAUGUUGAGUGUAUGACAACCUGCAAAAUUGGCCAAUAGUGUUCUAGUAAGAACUGGUAAAUGCUUAUUUUGAUCCACAAGAUAAAAACAUAUUAAGUAAUAUGGGAUACGUUUAGAAAACAAUGGGAAACAUAAAUAACAAAUCCAAUGACUAAAUUUGAUUACUUGAAGUUACCACCAGCUCCACCUGAUUAACAUCUCCUUCAUGGAAAAACAAAAACAUCAUUUUCAAUUAGUCAAAAAUGAUGUAAUAAACUAUACAAAUUUCAGUAGAUAAUACAAUUUACCUUAAUGAAGUUCAGGAGAGAAAAAGUUUCUUAUCUUGUUGUGACUCCUCUUAUAGUGGAGCCCUGGGUUCAUUUUCCAAGAUUUGGAUAUGAAGAUGCUACAUAAGAUGAAAUAAUCAAUCUUCUCUUAAAAUUCAAAUUUGAGGAAAAAUUUCUUCCCCAAACCUAAUAAUUUGGAAGCAUGAACUGUGAUAUUAACCUUGGAAACAUAAAAAUUUCAACUUGUGAAUCAAAUGAACAAAAACAAAGGGUAUUCCAAAAGAAAAUAGAAUAAAUGAUUAAAGAACAAAAUGAAAAAAAUCAUACCAAUAUGGGUAUUCUUCAUGGCAACUAUUUGAAAAAGCCUACCAGAUUGUUCCAUUUUGGGAACACAGCCGUUCAAGUUUCCUUUUGCAAUCCGAAAUCGUUAUUUGUUUAUUUAAUAGCAUAAAUGAAUGAAAGACGUUACCUUUUAAUUAAGACUGAGAUCAUCAACAUCGUUAUUUGUUUAUUUAAUUGUGGUGGUGGCUCGUAGGUGUUAUUUUUUUACAGAUAGAGAUGGAGGAGCGUUGUCGCUGUCUCAAAACAUCCAUGGUCAGGGGAGCUCGGGGAGCCUUAAGCUAGGGUUCUUCAUGGAGAUUACAGUGAGAGAGAUGAAGCUAUGUCUUCGGCCAAUACAGAAAAUCGCAAAGUGCAAGAACGAAAAGUGAUAUAAAGCUUAAAAAAUAAAAUAACAAAAUAUAGUAACUAUUUAGGGAUAGAAAAAAUAAAUAACGUUAGGGCUCUUACCUGGUACUACCUGACAGGGGAGCGAUGUCGAUGUUUCAAUCACCACCUCUUCCAUCAACCUUUUGUUAAUAAGAACAACCUACAUGGAAUCAAUGAUGCACCAUCAAGGAGAGAGAGAGAGAGAGAGAGAGAGAGAGAGAGAGAGGGAGCACAAAGAAAUUGUAGAAUGUAAACACCUAAAUAGAUAAUUUUUUUAUAGGCGAUGGCUUUGACUGAGCGUGGGGAUGAGCCUAUUCAAAUUAUCGUGUAUUCCGGAAGAAGAGGGAUUUUUCAGAAAAAUAGGAGCGGAGAAGUUGCCCUUAUGUUGAAGUUGUUGGACGGGAUAUGGAAGGGAACUGGGUUAAAGCCAUAGUAACUUAAGGUUUAACAAAUAUGUUGAAUUGAGCAUCUCAUAAGCAAAACCAUUAGGCGAUAAAUUGGAGAUUUGUUUGACUUAGUUUUAAGUGAGAAUUCAAAUGAAAAAGAAAUGACGGAUUAGGAUA
rnacentral:lncRNA from 1 species